GUUUCCACACGCGGACAUGGAUUGUCGUCCCAGAAAAAGACCGCGUUUGGGUUGGGAUGUUGCUCCUCAGGCCUUUAAGGCAUCAGAUUGGAGUCUAGGACCAAAAGAAUGUAUACUACUGCUUGGAUGGCGCCCUGAUGUUGCAGAAAUGAUUGAAGAAUUUGAUAAUUAUCUUGAACCUGGUAGUGUAUUGGAAAUAUUGUCAGAUGUGCC